rnacentral:lncRNA from 1 species
UACCACUUUUACCCACGACUUCGAUGUGGCAUGCUCAUUGGACCAGAUAAGCAAGCAGUGGCAAGUGGAUUGGAGGUCUUGGUAACCAGUUCAACCAAAAUCCUGGGACAGCUGUUCCCUGAUGCGGCACACUUCCUAGAAGAAGCAAGUGAAUUUAAAGCAGAGUGAACUGUAGAGGAGUUCACGACCAAAUCUCUGAUGCUUUCCCCAGAUCUUUCUUCAGGGCCAACACAUCCAUUGCUCAGCUGUGAUAGACAGCAGUCAGGGGUGGCUCACCUCUCUCACUGGGAAUUGCUCUCAGCAGUAGGGAACUCAUUCAGGGUUAAGGCAUCUCCUUGAGGAGGCCCAUGUUCAAUUACUGGUUGACACAGGAAUAUGAAGGCCUGGCCCUCGUCUCAGCUUGGAAUAAAUCUGAAGGCCCAUCACAGCUUCAGAGAUGCUUGGAGAAGGCUGAGGUCUCCCCUGUAACCUUAUGAGAACCUUGAGUUGUUGAACUCAUUAAUUCUUUGGGACCAUCUUCCUGAUGUUCAAGUUUGUGAAACAGGCUUUCCCUUUAAGAUUUGUUUUCCUCAAAAUACAAGACUAUUGAUGCUUCAGUUUUGAAGUGGAUUCUGCACUCAAGAAAUGUACCAUUGAAGAAUGGGACUGGUAGGAAGGGAAAAAAACUAAAAGGAAACGCAUUUUCGAGUUGCACAUCAUGAUCAGGCACAGAGUCCAGAUACACUUGGAGUAGCAAGCAUCCAUCCUUGUGGAGACGCACAUGAACCAGGACUCUCUGCACCCACCCCUCUCAAGUUUUAUUUUCCGACGGCUGUAAUGUUCCAGGACACCUGCCAUCAUGGAGGGUUAUCCAGCACCUGGAGGAUACCUGCUACCUGAAUCAUUGAGGGUUUACUGAACGAGUGCUAUUGUAAACAGAGUCAGUGUCAACACCAGAAAGUGCUUCCUGAUCUGGCAGUUUAAUUGCUCUCCUGAUUUCCAUGCUUUUCACUCUUUAUGAAAUGUGACGUUUUCUCUACAUCUUGUACAAAUACAGGAAUGAGAGAAGACGCACUGUGCUGUGG